rnacentral:rRNA from 1 species
CCUACGGGAGGCAGCAGUGGGGGAUAUUGCACAAUGGGGGAAACCCUGAUGCAGCGACGCCGCGUGAGUGAAGAAGUAAUUCGUUAUGUAAAGCUCUAUCAGCAGGGAAGAAAAUGACGGUACCUGAGUAAGAAGCCCCGGCUAACUACGUGGCAGCGGCCGCGGUAAUACGUAGGGGGCAAGCGUUAUCCGGCUUUACUGGGUGGAAAGGGAGCGUAGACGGCAGUGCAAGUCUGGAGUGAAAGGCGGGGGCUCAACCCCCGGACUGCUCUGGAAACUGUACGGCUGGAGUGCAGGAGAGGUAAGUGGAAUUCCUAGUGUAGCGGGGAAAUGCGUAGAUAUUAGGAGGAACACCAGUGGCGAAGGCGGCUUACUGGACUGUAACUGACGUUGAGGCUCGAAAGCGUGGGGAGCAAACAGGAUUAGAUACCCUUGUAGUC